GGGACCAAGGUGCUAGCGGCAGCAUACCUGACUCUUAAUCAGCCUGGUGAGGGUUCAAGUCCCUCUGGUCCCACUA
rnacentral:tRNA from 1 species